AUUGAACGCUGGCGGCAUGCUUUACACAUGCAAGUCGAACGGUAACAGGGAGCUUGCUCCGCUGACGAGUGGCGAACGGGUGAGUAAUGCGUCGGAACGUGCCGAGUAGUGGGGGAUAACGCAUCGAAAGGUGUGCUAAUACCGCAUACGAACUGAGGUUGAAAGUGGGGGACCUUCGGGCCUCACGCUAUUCGAGCGGCCGACGUCUGAUUAGCUGGUUGGUGAGGUAAAGGCGCACCAAGGCGGCGAUCAGUAGCGGGUCUGAGAGGAUGAUCCGCCACACUGGGACUGAGACACGGCCCAGACUCCUACGGGAGGCAGCAGUGGGGAAUUUUGGACAAUGGGCGCAAGCCUGAUCCAGCCAUGCUGCGUGUCUGAAGAAGGCCUUCGGGUUGUAAAGGACUUUUGUCCGGGAGCAAAUGCUGGUGGCUAACAUCCACCGGAGCUGAGAGUACCGGAAGAAUAAGCACCGGCUAACUACGUGCCAGCAGCCGCGGUAACAC
rnacentral:rRNA from 1 species